UGGGGAAUAUUGCACAAUGGGCGCAAGCCUGAUGCAGCCAUGCCGCGUGUGUGAAGAAGGCCUUCGGGUUGUAAAGCACUUUCAGCGAGGAGGAAGGUGGUGAGCUUAAUACGCUCAUCAAUUGACGUUACUCGCAGAAGAAGCACCGGCUAACUCCGUGCCAGCAGCCGCGGUAAUACGGAGGGUGCAAGCGUUAAUCGGAAUUACUGGGCGUAAAGCGCACGCAGGCGGUUUGUUAAGUCAGAUGUGAAAUCCCCGGGCUCAACCUGGGAACUGCAUUUGAAACUGGCAAGCUAGAGUCUCGUAGAGGGGGUAGAAUUCCAGGUGUAGCGGUGAAAUGCGUAGAGAUCUGGAGGAAUACCGGUGGCGAAGGCGGCCCCCUGGACGAAGACUGACGCUCAGGUGCGAAAGCGUGGGGCAGCAAACAGGAUUAGAUACCCUGGUAGUCCACGCUGUAAACGAUGUCGAUUUUGGAGGUUGUGCCCUUGAGGCGUGGCUUCCGGAGCUAACGCGUUAAAUCGACCGCCUGGGGAGUACGGCCGCAAGGUUAAAACUCAAAGGAAUUGACGGGGUCAUAGCUG
rnacentral:rRNA from 1 species